rnacentral:rRNA from 1 species
GAUGAACGCUGGCGGCGUGCCUAAUACAUGCAAGUCGAGCGGACAGACGAGGAGCUUGCUGCUCUGACGUUAGCGGCGGACGGGUGAGUAACACGUGGAUAACCUACCUAUAAGACUGGGAUAAUUUCGGGAAACCGGAGCUUAUACCGUAUAAUAUAUUGAUCCGCGUGGGGCGAUAGUGAGAUACGGUUUUGCUGGCACUUAUCGAUGGAUCUGCGCCGCAUUAGCUAGUUGGUAAGGUAACGGCUUACCAAGGCAACGAUGCGUAGCCGACCUGAGAGGGGGAUCGGCGACAUGGGAACUGAGACGCGGUCCAGACUCCUACGGGAGGCAGCAGUAGGGAAUCUUCCGCAGUGGGCGAAAGCCUGACGGAGCAACGCCGCGUGAGUGAUGAAGGUCUUCGGAGCGUAAAACUCUGUUAUUAGGGAAGAACAAAUGUGUAAGUAGCUAUGCACGGCUUGACGGUACCUAAUAAGAAAGCCACGGCUAACUACGUG